rnacentral:rRNA from 1 species
UAGUAACUGCGAGUGAAGCGGGAAAAGCUCAAAUUUAAAAUCUGGCAGUCUUUGGCUGUCCGAGUUGUAAUCUAGAGAAGUGUUAUCCGCGCUGGACCGUGUACAAGUCUCCUGGAAUGGAGCGUCAUAGAGGGUGAGAAUCCCGUCUUUGACACGGACUGCCAGGGCUUUGUGAUGCGCUCUCAAAGAGUCGAGUUGUUUGGGAAUGCAGCUCAAAAUGGGUGGUAAAUUCCAUCUAAAGCUAAAUAUUGGCGAGAGACCGAUAGCGAACAAGUACCGUGAGGGAAAGAUGAAAAGAACUUUGGAAAGAGAGUUAAACAGUACGUGAAAUUGCUGAAAGGGAAACGCUUGAAGUCAGUCGCGUUGUCCAGGGAUCAACCUUGCUUUUGCUUGGUGUACUUUCUGGUUGACGGGUCAGCAUCAAUUUUGACUAUUGGAAAAAUUUCAAGGGAAUGUGGCAUCUUCGGGUGUGUUAUAGCCCUUUUUUGUAUACAAUGGUUAGGAUUGAGGAACUCAGCACGCCGCAAGGCCGGGUUUUUAACCACGUACGUGCUUAGGAUGCUGGCAUAAUGGCUUUAAUCGACCCGUCUUGAAACACGGACCAAGGAGUCUAACAUACCUGCGAGUGUUUGGGUGGAAAACCCGAGCGCGCAAUGAAAGUGAAAGUUGAGAUCCCUGUCAUGGGGAGCAUCGACGCCCGGACCAGACCUUUUGUGACGGCUCCGCGGUAGAGCAUGUAUGUUGGGACCCGAAAGAUGGUGAACUAUGCCUGAAUAGGGUGAAGCCAGAGGAAACUCUGGUGGAGGCUCGUAGCGAUUCUGACGUGCAAAUCGAUCGUCAAAUUUGGGUAUAGGGGCGAAA